rnacentral:tRNA from 1 species
AUUUUGUUAGUUUAUCUAAAAUGUUGAUUUGUGGAAUCAAAGAAAUAGUUGCAUAUACAAAAUC